UACGUAGGUGGCAAGCGUUGUCCGGAAUUAUUGGGCGUAAAGCGCGCGCAGGCGGUUUCUUAAGUCUGAUGUGAAAGCCCACGGCUCAACCGUGGAGGGUCAUUGGAAACUGGGGAACUUGAGUGCAGAAGAGGAGAGCGGAAUUCCACGUGUAGCGGUGAAAUGCGUAGAGAUGUGGAGGAACACCAGUGGCGAAGGCGGCUCUCUGGUCUGUAACUGACGCUGAGGCGCGAAAGCGUGGGUAGCAAACAGG
rnacentral:rRNA from 1 species